rnacentral:rRNA from 1 species
AUUGAACGCUGGCGGAAUGCUUUACACAUGCAAGUCGAACGGCAGCACGGACUUCGGUCUGGUGGCGAGUGGCGAACGGGUGAGUAAUAUAUCGGAACGUGCCCAGUCGUGGGGGAUAACGUAGCGAAAGCUACGCUAAUACCGCAUACGAUCUACGGAUGAAAGCGGGGGAUCGCAAGACCUCGCGCGAUUGGAGCGGCCGAUAUCAGAUUAGGUAGUUGGUGAGGUAAAGGCUCACCAAGCCGACGAUCUGUAGCUGGUCUGAGAGGACGACCAGCCACACUGGGGCUGAGAGACGGCCCAGACUCCUACGGGAGGCAGCAGUGGGGAAUUUUGGACAAUGGACGCAAGUCUGAUCCAGCCAUUCCGCGUGCAGGACGAAGGCCUUCGGGUUGUAAACUGCUUUUGUACAGAACGAAAAGGUCUCUAUUAAUACUAGGGGCUCAUGACGGUACUGUAAGAAUAAGCACCGGCGAACUACGUGCCAGCAGCCGCAGUAA